UACGUAGGGGGCGAGCGUUGUCCGAAGUUACUGGGCGUAAAGCGCGCGUAGGCGGUUUCUUAAGUCUGGGGUGAAAGGUUCAGCGCUCAACGCGAACAGUGCCUUGGAUACUGGGAGACUUGAGUCUGGGAGGGGGCAGUGGAAUUCCUGGUGUAGCGGUGAAAUGCGUAGAUAUCAGGAGGAACACCGGUGGCGAAGGCGGCAUCCUGGACCGGCAUUGACGCUGAGGCGCGAAAGCCAGGGGAGCAAACGGG
rnacentral:rRNA from 1 species